UAUGGAGCAGACUUGGGUCCAACCUGCAGGUUGCAGAUCAGCUGAGUCCUGCCAAGAUCCAUUUAACUUCAGCCAACCUACAAAUGCCUGAGUCAGAGUGCCAUGAAAGCAAAUCUUGAUAUGGAGAUUAGCCUGCAAAGAAAUGUUCUCAGAAUCAACACCUGUGGAAGAAAAGGAAGCAAGCAAGACCAGGCAGAGAAAGAAGGCCCCUGAUCAAACUUGUCUUUCUAAGCAAAGUGGAUGACCAGGUGUACCAUCUGAAGCUCUGCUCAUUGGAAGAAUUUUUCCCCACUACUUGCUUUCAAGUCCACCCAUGAAUGGAUUUAUAGUGCAGACACUAUCAUUUUUUGGUUUAUACCCACAUACAGAGCUGAACCAUUUAUAAAUAAACCUCAACUUGUCCCCUUUAUUAUAAACUAGUCAUAAGGUAGCCAUCAUACAGCCAUAGGUAUGAGCUUAAGUAGAGUGUUUACUACACAUAUUAUCUACUAGAUAUUUUCACCUGAAAGAAAGGGAACUAAGAGAAAUUAAGAAUAUGGUCUAAUAGGAUGUUGAUGGAGGUAUCUGUAGUUAAGGCUAUAAAGUGAGAUGAUAUCAAAGAGAAUUGUGGGUGCAGCUUUUGGUAUGUAGCAUUGACUGGAAUCAAAUAUAUAGAAAAUCCUUAACUAGUGCAAGCACCAUAGGCUUGGACUAAAAGACACUGAGACUCUUCAGAUACAAAAAGAACCUUGGGCCCCAACGUUCUACAGGUAGGGGCUAGACCAUGAGUGUCUUAGCCCCAAGAAGAGCCCUCUUCGGAAGUGGCUAAGGAGGAUGAUGAAAAAGGAAAUAUGCUCCCUCCCCACCAGGAAGCAGAGCAAAGAGCCAUGAAGAAGCAUAUACGGGAAGUGUUUUUCAAGAAACAGAAGUAAAACUUCAUCAAGGAGCAUUCCACACCCCCAAGGUGGAGGGACUUAGAAAUAUUUGCCUAGGGGCACCUGGGUG